rnacentral:rRNA from 1 species
CGCUUUUUUUGCGCUGCCGGACGAGGAGAAGGCCAAGGUCCGGCCGGCGGAGGGGUCCCAGGCGCCCCUGCCGGCUGGCCACGGGCGGCAUCCCGCCCAUUUGGUGGACAGGUACGAGUACGUGCGGGUCUGUCAUCCUCGGCACGAGCUCAACUUGUACUUCCCCGAUGAGCCGGCCGGUUUCAGAGAAGCAAUGGAGGAGUGCUACGCGAAGCUCACCGAGCUGGGGCUGCUCAUCCAGGACAUCCUCAACGACUGCAUGGGGCUGCCGCCGGGCUUCCUCAAGGAAUACAACAGCGACCGCGGCCUGGACGUCAUGGUGGCGCUGCGCUACUUCUCUUCGUCGUCGAGGGAGGGGGAGGAGAUUGGGCUGAGCGAGCACGAGGACGGGAGUUGCGUCAGCUUUGUCUUCCAGGACGGCGUAGGCGGGCUGGAGGUCCUCAAAGACGGGCAGUGGAUUGCGGCAGAGCCCGCCGACGGAAGCAUCGUCGUUAAUAUCGGCGACGUCCUGAGGGUGCUGAGCAACAACACGUUCCGUAGCGCGACGCACCGGGUGGUGAGGAAGGCGGCGCACCGGCACUCGUUUGGCUUCUUCUGGUCCAUCCACGGCGACAAGUGGGUGGAGCCGUUGACGGAGUUCGCCGCCAAGAUCGGCGGCGCGCCGCAGUACAGGGGGUUCAAGUACAACGAGUAUAUGCAGCGGUUCAUGAAGAGCAGGACGGAUCCGCAGGCCAGGCCCGAGGACGCCUUCAGCGUCAGCCACUAUGCCAUCUGA